rnacentral:rRNA from 1 species
ACGAACGCUGGCGGCGUGCCUAAUACAUGCAAGUCGAGCGAUAUCUCUGGGGGCUUGCCCCCAAAGAUGUAGCGGCGGACGGGUGAGUAACACGUGGGCAACCUGCCUGUAAGACUGGGAUAACUUCGGGAAACCGGAGCUAAUACCGGAUAAUCCUUUUCUUCACAUGAAGGAAAGCUGAAAGAUGGCUUCGGCUAUCACUUACAGAUGGGCCCGCGGCGCAUUAGCUAGUUGGUGAGGUAACGGCUCACCAAGGCAACGAUGCGUAGCCGACCUGAGAGGGUGAUCGGCCACACUGGGACUGAGACACGGCCCAGACGCCUACGGGAGGCAGCAGUAGGGAAUCUUCCGGAAUGGACGAAAGUCUGACGGAGCAACGCCGCGUGAGUGAUGAAGGUUUUCGGAUCGUAAAACUCUGUUGUUAGGGAAGAACAAGUACCGUUCGAAUAGGGCGGUACCUUGACGGUACCUAACCAGAAAGCCACGGCUAACUACGUGC